rnacentral:lncRNA from 1 species
GCCCACCUCGGCCUCCCAGAGUGCUGGGAUUACAGAUUACAGGCCUGCCUAUCUAUCAGCAACCCCCAGUAUAGUGUAAGAUUUUCAAGGACAAGAUCUACAGAAACCCACUACACAGGAAACACUGCUUUGCCGAGCACAGGCCUGACGCAUGUGGGCUGAACUGAAUACAGCACCCACACUGGAACUACGGAAAUGACGUUAGACAAAAAGCAAAUUCAAGCAAUUUUCUUAUUUGAGUUCAAAACGGGUUGUAAAGCAGUGAAGACAACUCGCAACAUCAACAAUGCAUUUGGCAAUGCAUUUGGUGGUUCAGGAAGUUUUGCAAAGGACACGAGAGCCUUGAAGAUGAAGAGCUUAGUGGCCGGCCAUCAGAAGUUGACAAUGGCCAACUGAGAGCAAUCAUCGAAGCUGAUCCUCUUGGAACCACACAAGAAGCUGCUGAAGAACUCAACAUCAACCAUUCUACAGUCUUUUAAAGCAAAUUUGAAAGGUGAAAAAGCUUGGUAAGUGGGUGCCUUAUAAGCUGAGAGAAAACUUUUUAAAAAAUCGUUGCUUUCAAGUGUCAUCUUCUCCUCUUCUACACAACGAACCAUUUCUCAAUCAGAUUAUGACAUGCAACAAAAAAUGGAUUUUAUAUGAGAAUCAGCAAUGACCAGCUCAGUGGUUGGACCAAGAAGCAGCUCCAAAGCACUUCCCAAAGCCAAACUUGCAUCAAAAAAAAA